GCUAAGUUAACUGCCUGCCUGCCUGCUACUUCAGUUUAGUUAAUUCAUUAACUAAAAACGAGCAAUUCGGAACAGCAAUUAUUUGUAAAAUUCAGCUCUUACAAUACGACUAGUUCAUGUUAGCUCAGACUGAAAUAACGUAAACCUGAUGCUGACUUCACCUGCUAUCAAAAACAUUUAACGUUACCAUGUUAAGAUGCGAACCCCUUGCGUUCAAGUUCUUGUUGGCUGAAAGGUCAAUGGAGGACACUAAAAGGCUCACUGAAUGUCCACAUGGUGGCACUGCGUCUUCAAAGACAGUCAAGGAUGCUUGCAGGCACAGAUAAUCAUCAUGCU
rnacentral:lncRNA from 1 species